ensembl:lncRNA
GGGUGCAGGAGGGAGGGGAGGAUGCAGGAGAGAAGAGGGGGUUGUGGAGGAGGUGGAGGGCCUGGGAGCCUCUGGCACCAACUUCUCCUUUGAGACUGGGCAGACGGGGAAGAGAGAUAAGAAAAAAAUGCCAGGGCUCCAGUUGUACACAGAAGCUUUUCUAAAGCAAUUGGAGCCGCAGAGAAAGGCUCUUCACAGGCUGGAGCUGGAGGAAGCUUCUAGAUCACAGCCGUGGAGUCACGUGCUGGGGCCUCGGUGAGCCCCCAGUAGGGAAAACUAUCCGUCCGAGGCCACGCCCACCAGCAUGUCAUUCCUGCCAGGCCUGUCUCUGACCUGCCUCCCUAAAUAAAAGCAUGUAAGGGACAUUUGAUUGGUGUUUGCCUGUUCUCUUGCCAUUAAA